CGCCCGUCACCAUUGUUGCGGAAACAGCGGCGUGGUUGAUAUCCAUACUGUCAUCAUUCUGCUGAAGACAGGAUAUACGCUCCACGUGAUUGCAUAUUCGGCAUUGAACAUUGUACGUUUUUUCUAAUCCAUAUUGUUGACAUCCAAUUAUGUCAAAAUGUUCAACGCCGCAGCCUAUAGUCGAAUGUUUUUGCAAAUUUUUUAUUUGUUCGAAAACAUACGCAAAAUCGGCGGUCUAUUUCUUUGGAUAUUGAAUUUUUCGACUGUUGUGGUUCCGCUCGCUCUACCACAUAGUUACAGUUGUAACCUAUAGAAUUUCCGACAUCUUCAUUCGUUCCUUCCUGGAUGUCCAUUACGGAAGGUAUUUCGCAGCUGACUACCAGGUUAUUACCUUCCGUCACUGAUGUCGUUCUUUCUUCUUCGCUUUUGUUUAAAUCUGCGUUUUCAUUUUCCUCGAAAUUUACUUCGUCUAUAAUUUCUUGAGCCAUUUCAAUAUCUUCGAUAUUUUUUAUUUCUUCUUCGUGUCCUGCCAUAGCAAGAACUUCAUCCUCUUGGAAUGUUUUGUAGGAAGUACCUGCAGAAGUACCUGCUUCCUCCACGGUACUUCGACAUACCGCGAGGCACGCUGCUUUCUUUAAUUGCCGGCUAUACGAAAAAAAUCAAUAAUUAUAAUUAAUUAUAUGCGGGGCAUACAUAAAUGUAAGAAAAACGUAUUAUACAAAUGUACGAACAUGACAGAAAUUCGACAAUAAUACAGUAAUAAUACAUUAAUAAUACAAUAAUUCGAAUGAAUUUCUUAUUGGUAUGUUUACAUGUCACGUUCAAUGUGCCUUUCAUACAUUUUUGUGCCCUGUGCAUUACACUUUUGGUGACUUCUGCUAUUGUUGUUUGAGUGUUUAAAUGGGUCUCAAGGUCAUAAUGUGAUACAUCGUUGAAUUCAUUUUGAUACGCGCUUUCAUAUGAUAUAAUAAAUAUAUAUCAUUUCAUUUAAAAAACUGAAGGACACCUUCAUUUCUCAGAAAAUAGUACAAAUAUGAAAGAUAUAUAUACCUGGUUACAUUGAAUAUAAAAACCAGUAUCACUUUCUUCUCUUUCAUUUUUUUAUCAUAUGCACCAUUUACGAGAAAAACGCUGGUUAGUAAAUCUCUGAACACCCUUUAUACUGAUACAUUUACAUAUACAUAUAGUAUGUACUUUCGGAGAUACUUUUUAAUGAAAAUAUGUGCACAGGAAAAAAGCUUUAUUAUCAUAUGCGUAUACUUUUGACGUAUCAACGACUUUAUUAGGGAAGAAUUUAUAUUUUGUUUUACAGUUAUCCUUUACCACUUGCUUAACGGCAAAGGAACACCCCGCAAGUAUGCGCGGACACGCCGCACGUUUUCAAACCUUUGCGCAUUCGAAUUUUUACGCGCGCCGCUGACGCGUUCCUCGGUUCUUGGUGCAAGUGAAAUAGAAAAUAUUGAGUGACUGAGAGGGGGUAGUUUGGGCCCUUUCUACCCUCGAGACUAGCAGAGCCUCGAUCGUCAGUUGAAAAGUGAUCGUGAAACAGUGAACAACGUAAGUACCUUCACGCUUCUUACUAUCUCUGUGUUGUACACUAUGUGCGCCGGUAAUAUGAAAAUAGUCUAUCCCAAAUUUUCCAUUUAUUACAUUUUACUCAUUUUUUUCAUACUUUUUAGUGUAUUUUGAAGUCUGUUGUGUUUUGGUAAAAAUUAUUUUAUUUUUCAUCGCAUCAUGCGUUGGGUCAUGGAAUUAUUUAAUCAAAUUGUUUUCAUAUGUAAAUACGGGUAUGUAGAACAAUUUCUGAAAGUAGGAAGGUGCAACUCUCUUUCGUUUUCGAGAAAUAAAUUUUUAAAAAUAUCUAAAUUUCGAUUGAGGAGUGUCGCUGUAUAAGUGUUGGAGAUGUUAUAGAACUAUGUGAGCCUGGCACCCGACUUUUCAAAAAUUAAUUUUUUUUUUAAAGAAAAUGAUUGUAUUUCGCUUGUACUUGAUUGUACUAUCAAUAGUUUCGUUUGUACCUUCAUUAAUUAAUAAUUAAAAAAAUUCAAAAAAUGGUCAGCACCCGACAUUGAGAUUUUUGAAAUAUGUUUUUUCCCCAUUCUUUAGAAGCAUUUGUACCCGUUUGUACCGCUUUUCGUUUCGUUUGUACCACAAUAGUUUAAAUUUUACAAGCAAUUGUUGAUACGCGUAAGAGUGGAAAUCGUCAAUUUUCGAGAUUUUUAAAAUCUGUUUUUUCCUUAUUGUUUAGUAUCAUUUGUACCUAUUUGUACCGCUUUUCGCUUCGUUUGUAUCUCAAUAGUUUAAAUUUAUCUUAAUUCUAUCUUUUCUUUUACUUUUCAGAUGAACAAAGAAAGGUCUGCAUCCCCGGCGCCGGCCCCGGGUCCAGCAGCGCGGCAAAGCGGGAACGAGUCAUCCCCGGGUCCAGCAGCGCGGCAAAGUGGGAGCAAGUCAGCCCCGGAUGCGGCACGCGGCACAGCGUACAGAGGUCUGCCAGUGUACCGACGGUAAAGACAACGCUCGCGUCGAGAUCGAUGGAAGUAGAACAACUACAAAAAGAGCUCUCCAAAAUAAAAAAAAGAUAUAGAAAUUUAAAAUAUGGCCGCGGUGGGUCAAGAAGAGGGCGACGUGGCCGAGGCCGCAGAGGUGGUGGCCAAUGUACUAUAUAUAAUAACUAUUAUUAAAAUUGUGUAUUAAAUUUAAACUACUAUUAUAUCUUAUAUAUCUUAUAUUCUAUCAUUUUAUAUUAAUAAUAAUAAUAUUAUUAUAUAUAUUUUUUCCCUAUUCUUUAGAAUAGUUUGUACCCGUUUGUACCGUUUUUCGUUUCGUUUGUACCGCAAUAGUUUACAUUUUACACCAAUUGUUGAUAAGAGUGGAAAUUGUCAAUUAUCAAGAUCUUUUGCGCUGGAAGUAGUUCGAUCCCGGUAGGAGUCACUCAUUUUUUUUUUCUACUUUUUCUUCCGUUUGUACCAUGUUUUGUUAUGCAAACUACAUUUUUAUAUAUUAAGAUUAUUUUUAUACAAUAUUGUGCAAUGUUUAUGUUUUUUAUCGCAUUGAAAAAGAAGAAAGAAAGAAAAAGAAAGAAAUGAAAAAAAGAAGAAAGAAGUUGUGCAAUGUUUGUUUAAUAUAAUUAAAUUGUUAUUUACAAACUAUAAUGACGUAAGUUUUUAUAAAAGCUUGUAGAAACUCCUUUCAAAUCCUGACUUCUUUUUCGAAGCGAUAAAAAACAUAAAAAUUGUACAAAAUUGUAUAAGAAUAAUCUUAAUACAUGAAAAGGUAGUUUCCAUAACAAAACAUGAUACAAAUGGAAGAAAAAGUAAAAAAAAAAAUGAGUGACUCCUACCGGGAUCGAACCGCGUCCAGCGCAAAGCUAGAGUUUCGAAGCGACGACGAAAGUAGAAAGAAACAGUUCGAUGAAGAAGGAAGAGAGACUCAGAGUCGACGCUGGCAAAUGUAAGGAUACGGGAUCGGGAUGCUAAGCGCGAUUUCGACCUCAGUGAAAUGGCAACAGUGUAGAGAGACGCUGUUGUGAGAACGGCAACAUCGCAAUUGUAUCGACAUCACGUUAGCAGUCGUCCUCAGUAAGCGCCAUCUCCUAUCGAUUGUCUGAACUAAAUUUGUGACGUAACUUGCUCUGCAUUAUCGUCAAAAUGGUGGAACUCGUCUUUGGGAAUGUUUUUACGAUUUUUCGCUUUUUGUUCUUAUAUUAGCAUAUUUUGGGUUGAAUGAGGGCUCAUUCGAAAGAGGAAGGUCCAACGAAGGGUGCUCUGGUCAUCAUUCGAGUCACGAAAUCCAUUUAGUAACCUAAAAAUACUACCAUUCUACGGAUGUGUUUUGCUCGACUUUUGUUCAACUUUGGACGCUCAUAUUAUUAAAUAUCAACACACUAUCGUUCUAUCAUGACCAGAGCACUCUUCGUUGGACCUUCCUCUUUCGAAUGAGCCCUCAUUCAGUCCAAAAUAUGUUAAUAUAAGGACGAAAAGCGAAAAAUCGCGAACCCCUUUUUAGGCCCACUUUUGCCAGUAACGUCACCUCGCUGCAUUACCCGUGUCUAUCCCCUUAACCGGCAGCGAUCUAAACAUGUGCGCGUUACAAUGGACUCGCGACUAGAUGUUCGUUAUUUCGUGCGAUAACCUACGAAAAGGCGAUUUCCCGCUAACAAUGCUAUUUCGCCUGACUGGGUGCUCGGCAGCCACCAGGUAACCCGACCAAUCCACGAUAUCCAUGAGCGUGAGGUAAAGGAGGAAGCGCUUACCGUACCGUUCCGCACGUGCG